UACGUAGGGGGCAAGCGCUGUCCGGAUUUAUUGGGCGUAAAGAGCGUGUAGGCGGCUUUACAGGUCCGUUGUGAAAACUCGAGGCUCAACCUCGAGACGCCGGUGGAAACCGUAAAGCUAGAGUCCGGAAGAGGAGAGUGGAAUUCCUGGUGUAGCGGUGAAAUGCGCAGAUAUCAGGAAGAACACCCGUGGCGAAGGCGGCUCUCUGGGACGGUACUGACGCUGAGACGCGAAAGCGUGGGGAGCGAACAGG
rnacentral:rRNA from 1 species